CACUGGCUGCAAGACCGACGCCUUGUCGUUCUCCCCAGACCCGGAGGGGCCUGGGAGCAGGCCCAGGUAGCCAUCCUUACUUUGUGCACUGGAGAGCCUCGGUGGGGCUUGUAUGAUUGUCCCCAAGACAUGCACUCUCCCCUGGAGGUAUUCAGAGAACACUGGGUCAGUCUACAGGGGCGGAAAUGGCUCAGGUCAGGGAGGCAGGCUCACCUUGGGGCGAGAGCUCAACUUUGCCCUUUGCCUUUGUCCCAGGCCGCUCUCAAAGGCUCAGCCCACCGCCGUGGGAAUUCCCAGGAGUGCGGGACCAUGGGGCCCAGUGGGAGAGGGGCUCCCCGGCUCAGUCAAGAUUCCCCUUCCCGCCCCGUCAUUGCCACGUCCACGGGCAAGGCACCUCUAAGGCCCCAGUUACCUCCUGCAAGAUACUGCCGCUGGACGUCAGAGAACCCUCGAGACCUUUUCUCUGUCUGAUCCCAGAGCCUGUGGCAGUCGGCACUUUCCACCGCCUCUGCUCAGCCCUGGGAAUUAGCAACAGGUGCUUCGAGCAGACCCCCGGAGCCCAUCACCAGCAUCCCAUGGAAAAGAAGGAAAACAAUUUGUUUCCUCCUUCCAAAAAAUGUGAGGAAAGAAAAUAGGCCUCAUCUUCGAUGUGAGCCAACUCUCUUCAGUUUGAUCUGUCUCAAAAGAAGUGAGAAAGUGCAGGGGUUUCCCCCUGGGUAGGAGUGAAGCAUGACAAGAGCCUGGAAACUUGGCAGGAAUGCCCUGGAUCGCAGCUCUGGCAUCAGGCCCACUUGGCAGAGGACCAGGGAGAAGAUUUCCCGUUGUCCCGACACAAUUCCCUCGGCCCAGAGGAGCAGGCACACAUGUGGGGGCGGUGCACGUGGGAAUCAAGCCUGCCAGGGAGACGCUACCCACCCCCACUGGCCCUCAAGUCCAUGGACACUCUCCAGCAUUUACUGAGCACCGCGGGGUGCACGGCACUCACCAGGGGCACUUCGUACAGCGACGUGCAACCCCGGAGGAGCAAAGCCCCGAUCCUGCCUGGUCACGCCUGCAUCACGGAAACAGAUCCAGAUCUCAGUUUCCCCAGCUUCUCCAAGAUGGUGGUCACCCUUCUCUGACUCCGACAUUCUUCUGAGCAAGCAAGGCCAUGCCCACGGCUUCCUCGAAGAGAGAACCUCUGUAUCGGGUGGUUCCUUCACAUCAUGACCUGGCCUGAGGAACACGCGGGACCAGACUGAACAGACUCCAGAUAGGCUGUGCUCCGCCUCUUUUCUGUGGCCUCUGCUGGCUGGAGAGACACAUAGAAACCCCUUGUGAGGGAAGCCCCAGUAAGGGAGAUCGGGGUGUGUGGGUGCAGAGCCUCUGGGAGGGUGGGGUCUGCGGGCCACCCUGUGUUCGGGCACCGAGCCCACCCUGUACUCCUAACCCCCUGGCCCCUUGCACAGGGUUGUGUCUCCAGUUUGAUCUCCUGGUGCUCCUUUUUCUCUCCAGAACCCUCCCUCCCACGGUCAGUGGAGACUCCCUUGUGGUACCCAGUCCUACAGAGGGUCCUAUCCUGCGCAGCCCCUGCACGGAAGUCACCUGUGUUUGGGACGCUGGCUCUGCUGGGCCAUGGCCUGAGCACAAUCCUGCACUGAGCACCACGUCUGCUCAGAAGUGCUGGACCCGCUCAGGGUUCGACCCACACAUCCAGCCCCCUGGGUAAACCAGGCUCUUCUGGGCUCCUCUCCCCUUCCUCAUCUCUGUUUAAAAAAGGAUGCCUGCGGAGCAUGUUUACUUUAUGCAUUUCCAUAACCCCAGCCUUAUCUCAAAAGAGACUCCAGGAGACUAGAGAAGGCAGUUUGAUGUCAGGAUGAGUGACACAGACCUGUCCAACCUACAACACAGCCAUGCUGGCCACGCUGGCUGGGGCAGACUCCAUGUCCUCACUGUGUGAUUGUCACGGGGCACCAUCCAGGCAGACGUGCUCACGGGGCAGACCGGGGCCCUCAGGGGGAUGUCUCUCAGUCCCCGCUCCUCACUUCACAAAAAGGUAAGGAGAGGGAGGUUCAUUUGCACAGGCUCUUACUAUUUUUCUGCCUCCACCCCCGGCCCCGGCUCUCUCCAAGCGUCAAAGGACUCCCCAGCCAGAGGACGGGCGUUUCCAGGUUAUGCCUUCCUAGACAUCUUGGUCCACACAGCUCCACAGCUCUUAUGGAAGUGAGAACCACGGGGCCUGCCUGGCGAUCCGAGAGGCUGCACAAGACGGCUCACCCAGCCCGGGGAAGAGCUGCCCUGUUAGAAUGCAAGGAACCUCGCAAAGGGCUGCUUCGAGUUUACCAGCAUUACCAAAUCAAAGUGUCUGCACAAUAGCGCCGGGGAUCCCGGAGAAAGAAGCCCUUCUGCUUCUGUCCAAAGCCUGGAAAUGGUCUCCGCAGAAUGGCUCUUUCUCCAGAGGCUCACCCGCUUCCCACGAGCCAGCAACACUCUCCGGCGACGUUAAUCCCAGUUCCUGGGACAAUGCUCAAGUACCUGCUGAUUUGUGGUUACUCGUUCGGUGUGUCUUCCCCGCAGAGCUGUGGACAUCAGAACAGCCCUGUGCCGCUUCAGGAAUAAGACUGAUGCACUGGUUUCUUGUAGCCGCUGUAACAAACCAGCACAAACUGGGCGGCUCAAAACAACAGAACCUUAUUCUCUCUCUGCGCGGGAGGCCAGAAGACUGAAAUCAAGGUAUCGGCAGGGCUGUGCUCCCUCUGAGGGGAGGAUCCUUCCUCACCUGUCUCCCAGCUUCCGAUGCUGCUGGCAAUCCUUGGUUUCCUUGGCUUGUAUUUUUUUUUUUUUUAAGAUUUAUUUAUUUAUUUGAGAGAGCGAGAAUGAGAGAGAGAGAGAGAGAGAGAGAGUAUAUGAGAGGGGGGAGGGUUAGAGGGAGAAGCAGGCUCCUCGCCGAGCAGGGAGCCCGAUGCGGGUCGAUCCCGGGACUCCAGGAUCAUGACCUGAGCCGAAGGCAGUCGCUUAACCAACUGAGCCACCCAGGCGCCCCGGUUUCCUUGGCUUGUAGCGGCAUCAUCCUCAUCUCUGUCUCUGUUGUCACCUGACAUUCUUCCCGUGUGUCUGUGUCUCUUCCUUUUCUUCUAAGGGCACCAGUUCCAUCAGAUUAAGGACCCCCUCUGCGUCAGUAUGAGCUCAUCUGAACUAAUUAUACCUGUGAUGGCCAUAUUUCUGAAUAAGACCAUGUUCUAAAACUCCAGGAAGGACACGAAUUUGGGGGCACACUCUCCAGCCCAGCGAAACUGAUGGGUCUUCCCUUUUACCUUCAGCUGUUGCUAGGAUGAGGCCCUUGCCCGGCCUCUGUUGUUGCUGCACUGGUAGAUCUCUUCAGACUCUCGGUGGCUCCCUUAGAACUGCCAGUGGUCCCUAAUUAGUGCCUUUUGAUCUAUCACAGAAAGUUGUGGGUGAGCAAGAAAAGGCUGAGAACUCUGGAAAGAGGAGAUCCAGUCUUGCAUUGGCAAUCCAGAGGGGAUCGUUCAGAUCUAGGGUCCCUGGAAGUCAGCAAACACUUGUUUUUUGCACACACUGCAGGAUGGGAGGGUGUGACUCCUGAGUGUUGGGAUUAACCCUGAGGUCUCCCCGGGGGAAUGAGGGAAAGGUCGUUUUCAUGGGACCUUGGCACUAUUCCUUUGGGCCCUUCCCAAAUAGUGAAGUUUGAAUUGCAACUUGUCUGCAGAGGAGGAUGUACAUCCAUCCCUGCUUUGCCAGCAGAAAGGGUAUGGGUAUGUGACAUUGGGCAUGGACAUUUCUGAAGUUCAGAGCGCAUGGGCUGGAGCAGUGGGAAGUGGGUCUCGGACGGGCUUCUCUCACAUCUUGGGGUCAGUCGUGUCCUGGAGUAAUUGACAAGGCCCAGCUUCUAAAUGGACCCCGUCACACUCUGUCAUUGCCAAUGGGGGUGGGCUUGGCUUGAUUUCCAGGAAACAGAAUAAAUACAAAAGCAAUUGUACUGCAGGGGUGGGGUGGUGAGGCAUGGAGCAGGUCAGAGCGCUUUGUCCAGUUGGUUCUCAAGCAUGUGAAAUCCGUAACAGGGCUUCUGGAGGGACAAAAAUACUAACCUUGUUCAAUAAAACCUAGGUAUCUUUAAAAAAAAAUCAAUUUUAUUGAGGUAUAAGUCACAUACCAUAGGCAAAAGGUACAAAGUAUACAGUCUGAUGGUUUCGAUACAGUCACAGAGUUGUGCAACCUCAAGUCAAUUUUAGAACGUUUUCAUCACCCCAAAAGGAAACCUGCACCCCUUAGCUUAAUGCCCUGCUCCCCUAGCAGUAGAAAACUAAGCUACUUUCAAUCACUAUAGAUUUGCUUAUUCUGCUCAUUUCAUGUAAAUUAUACCAUACAAUAUGUGGUCUUUUGUGACUGGUUUCUGGCACUUAGCAUCAUGUUUUUAAGGUUCAUCCACGUUGUAGCAUUUGCCACUACUUUGUUCCUUUUGAUGGCCAAGUAAUAUUCCAUCAUAUGGAUACAUCAAAUUUUGUUUAUCCAUUUAUGUUUUGAUGGACAUUGGGUUGUUUACAUCUUUUGGCUAUGGUGGAUAAUGCUGUUAUUGAUCCAUACCAGUUUUUGUGUGGAUAUAUAUUUUCAUUUCUCUUGAGUACACACCCAGGAGUGGAAUUGCUGGGUCUUAUGGUAAUGAUGUUUCACCUUUUGAGGAACCGCCAGACUGUUUUCCACAGCAGCUGCACCAUUUUGCAUUCUUACCAGCAAUGUAUGAAGGUUCUAAUUUGGCCAACACUUGUUAUUAUCUGACUUUUAUAUGAUAGCCAUGCUAGUGGGCAUGAAGUGUAUUCUCAUUACUAUUUUGAUUUGCAUUUCCCUGAUGGCUCAUGAUGUUGAGCAUCUCUUCAUGGGCUUAUUGAACUUCAUGUGCUUAUUGUGCAUAUCUUCUUUGGAGAAAUGUCAGUUCAGAUCCUUUGCCCAUUUUUCAAAUUGGGUUGUCUCUUUAUCAUUCCGUUGCAACUGUUCUUUAUAUAUUCUAGAUAUAAAUCCCUUAUAAAACAUAUGAUUUUCAAAAAUUUUCUCCCACUCUGUGUGUUGACUUUUUUUACUUUGAAAAGCAAAAGUUUAUUGGUGAAUUCCACUUUAUCUAUUUUUUCUUUUGUUGCCCGUGCUUUUGAUGUCCUAGCUGAGAAUCCUCUGCCAAAUCCAAGGUCGUGAAGAUCUACCCCUGUGUUUUCUUCUAAGAGUUUUAUAUUUUAGCUCCUACAUUGUGGUCUUUGAUGUAUUUUUUUUUUUUUGAAGAUCUAAUUGGCUUUAUUCAACAAUUCAUGAACUGGGCAGCAUCCCAUCUAGCAGGUAGAAAGGAACUCCUUGAUGUAUUUUGGUUUAAAAACCACAGACAUGCUUUACAACAGUGAGAUAUUUGGCAGGAGUGUGUAGGACGACUUACCCAAUGACAUAUUUUUGAUUUUUUAACAGAUUUAUUGACUUCAAAAUUUCAUUUCCUGUGUGCGCAUUUAUUUAUACGCACACAUAAAUAUGCACAGCAGUAUAAUAAUAGUAGCUCUUGCGGCCACAUGGGAAGUGGUGUACUAAUGUGGGCAGACAAUAACUGGAAACAUCAAGGACACUUAACAAUGGAUUUUGCACUUUUUGAGACCAAUCUCUUCUUACACAUCAAAGAGUGCGGCCAGAUUUUUGAUUGACAGCAGCAAAAAAUAGGACAGAGAUUACAUGAAUCAAGCGAUAAUUUUCUCGGGCACCUGGGUGGCUCAGUCGUUAGGCGUCUGCCUUUGGCUCAUAUCAUGAUCCCGGGGUCCUGGGAUCGAGCCCUGCAUCGGGCUCCCUGCUCGGCAGGAAGCCUGCUUCUCCCUCCCCCACUCCCCCUGCUUGUGUUCCCUCUUUCGCUGUGUCUCUCUCUGUCAAAAAAAUGAAUAAAAUAUUUAAAAA